rnacentral:lncRNA from 1 species
AACAGCACCAGAAGGCAGCGAGCCAUAGCCACUCUCCAUGGAAACUGCCUUUAUAUAAACUCUUCACAUCUUCAGUAUGAGAUGUGAGACAGUCAGCUUAUUCUACUUAACUAACAACGUCUGGGACCCAAGAAGUCCAUCUGACUUACAUCCCCACCAGCUCCCAGACCUGACGUCUUUCCAGUUGUAAGCAAAGGUUUCCUUGUCACAGAAGUGCUUAUAAUUUAACUAUUAACAAAAUUAAAACCCAAAUCAGUGGUUCUCAAAGAUCA